rnacentral:rRNA from 1 species
UACAGAGGGGGCAAGCGUUGUUCGGAAUUACUGGGCGUAAAGGGCGCGUAGGCGGCCUGCUAAGUCGAACGUGAAAUCCCCGGGCUCAACCCGGGAACUGCGUCCGAUACUGGUUGGCUUGAAUCCGGGAGAGGGAUGCGGAAUUCCAGGUGUAGCGGUGAAAUGCGUAGAUAUCGAGAGGAACACCAGUGGCGAAGGCGAGUCUCUGGACGACACCUGACACUGAGGCACGAAAGCUAGGGGAGCAAACAGG